GGAGGAAAGUAGGGGAUCGCAAGACCUUGCGCUAAAGGAGCGGCCGAUGUCUGAUUAGCUAGUUGGUGGGGUAAAGGCUUACCAAGGCAACGAUCAGUAGUUGGUCUGAGAGGACGGCCAACCACACUGGGACUGAGACACGGCCCAGACUCCUACGGGAGGCAGCAGUGGGGAAUUUUGGACAAUGGGCGAAAGCCUGAUCCAGCCAUGCCGCGUGAGUGAAGAAGGCCUUCGGGUUGUAAAGCUCUUUUAGUCGGAAAGAAAGAGUUGCAAUGAAUAAUUGUGAUUUAUGACGGUACCGACAGAAAAAGCACCGGCUAACUACGUGCCAGCAGCCGCGGUAAUACGUAGGGUGCGAGCGUUAAUCGGAAUUACUGGGCGUAAAGGGUGCGCAGGCGGUCUUGCAAGUCAGAUGUGAAAGCCCCGGGCUUAACCUGGGAAUUGCGUUUGAAACUACAAAGCUAGA
rnacentral:rRNA from 1 species